GGAGGCUCCUGGGCCCGGGCUGCCCCAGGCAGGCUGGCCUUUAAGGGCGGACCCCUGUCGCCCAAAGGGAGUCGUUCUCCCCUCGCCUCUUUUCUUACCUAAACCCAUCCCUACACACACACACACACACACACACACACACACACACACACACACUCACACAGCUUGGCGUGUUGUUUAAAACAGGUGGAAGACCUCUGUAAUGAUAUUAUGCCUUUCAAUAAAAAUUUUAUGAGGUGUAUUUGAUUAUAGAUUAAUGUGUCCCUAAUAAAACGGACGGAUGGAGCAGCUCGGAGUGCCCCUCCCUCUACCGCGCUCACACUCCCGGGGCAGCCACAUGUCCUUGAUCCACCCCCUUUCCAGUUUUCCCCUUGAGAGGUAAGGCCGGGCAGCCUUGAAUCUGAGAGAAAUGC
rnacentral:lncRNA from 1 species